rnacentral:rRNA from 1 species
UACGAAGGGGGCUAGCGUUGUUCGGAAUCACUGGGCGUAAAGCGCACGCAGGCGGAUUGAUAAGUCAGGGGUGAAAUCCCGGAGCUCAACUUCGGAAUCGCCUUUGAUACUGUCUGUCUUGAGUCCGGGAGAGGUGAGUGGAAUUCCUAGUGUAGAGGUGAAAUUCGUAGAUAUUAGGAAGAACACCAGUGGCGAAGGCGGCUCACUGGCCCGGUACUGACGCUCAUGUGCGAAAGCGUGGGGAGCAAACAGG